rnacentral:tRNA from 1 species
CGGGGUGUGGCGCAGUUUGGGAGCGCGUCUGCUUUGGGAGCAGAAGGCCCAGGGUUCAAAUCCCUGCACCCCGACCA